rnacentral:tRNA from 1 species
GCUCAGUUGGUUAAGUGUCCAACUCUUGAUUUCGGCUCAGGUCAUGAUCUCAUGGUUUGUGGGAUCGAAUCCCGCAUUGGGUU